AUGGCUGCCGUCCUGCUCGGCUCCGCGCCGCGCCACCCCGCCUCCCGCCCUCGACGCCGGCGCGGGCCAAUGAACGCCAAGGCAGGGGGCGGGGCCAGAGCCACAGAACUUCCCCCCGAAGGGGGAGACAGUAGUUGGGGUGUCCCCAGCAGGAAGGAGAAGGAGGCUGUCCGGAAGAAGGAGCGCCCAGAACGCACAAAGGCCUGGCAGUGGGCAGUCAGGGGCGUAGCCUGGAACAGGUGCCGGACGCAGAGCCUGGUACAGCAGCAGGGCUCCACUGCCAGAAGAAACAAUAGCCACUGUCCAGUGCUGCCCCUGCUGCUUAUACUGUCCUCAGAGCAGCCACCAGUGCUCAGGUUCAUCGAGUGCCAGGGAGCCCUGCCCAAGGACAUGGCGUGCAAGAUGUUCCACCAACUCUCCUUGGCCAUUAAGUACUGCCACGACCUGGACAUCGUGCACCAGAACCUCAAGUGUUAGAACCUGCUCCUCCACAAGGAUUUCAACAUCAAGCUGUUCUACUUCAGGUUCUCCAAGCUCUGCCUGCGGGAUGACAAUGGCCAACAGAGAUUAAGCAAGACCUUCUGUGGGUCGGUGGCAUAUGCAGCCCCUGAGGUGCAGCAGGGCAUCCCCUACUAGCCCAAGGUGUAUGACAUCUGGAGCCUGGGCAUGAUCCUCUACAUCAUGGUCUGCAGCUCCAUGCCCUAGGACGACUCCAACAUCAGGAAGAUGCCGUGUACCCAGAAGGCGCACCAUGUGGACUUCCCACACUCCAAGAACCUGACAGACGAGUGCAAGGACCUCAUCUAGUGCAUGCUGCAGCCCAACAUCAGCCAACAGCUCCACAUCCAUGACAUUCUCAGCCAAUGCUGGGUGCAGCCCAAGGCACAAGGACUGCCCUCUAUGGUCAUCAACAAGGAGGGGGAAAGCUCCCGGGGAACUGAACUCUUGUGGACCCCUGAACCUGGCUCUGCCAAGAGGUCUGCCACCAAGCUGGAGUCUGGGGAAGAGGCACAGCCCAAGAGACAACCUGAGACAAAACCUGAGGGGUUGGCAAUGCAAAUGUCCAGGCAGUCGGACGUCCUAGGCUUCCCCAGCAAGCCGUCAACCAGGGAGAAAGAGGAAGGGCCCCCCCAAAGGCCUCCAGAGAUUCGCAUCCAGUGAGCAUUUGUGGCCCAGUAUGCCAGCAGUGAAUGAGAUGGAGCUCACACCUUCAGGCCCAAGCUCUGAAGAAGUCAAGGCACAAACCAGAGAAGGAAGACAGUCCUGGAUGAGCCGCUGUUUUCAUCAGUUUCUUCUCUCUCCCCUUGAACUUCAUAACCACAUUGCUAAAGGAGCAAUAAAUCACUAUAUUAAUGCAGAUGCCAAA